rnacentral:lncRNA from 1 species
GUAGCGGCCUCCAGUUGCUGUUCUCAAGUGCUAUGGAUUCAACAACAAAUGAGAGAUUACGAUUGGUGAGUACAUUGCAUCAAAUGGUGGUGUUGUUACAACAAAGGAAAUUGCUCCGUAUCUUGAUGUAGAAAGAAAAUACUCUGGGAUUUUUUAAGACGAUCAUGAUAAAUAAUAGUAGAUCAUAUAUUUAUUAAUGGACCAUAUUGGGUCU